UACGGGGGAGCAAGCGUUGUUCGGAAUUACUGGGCGUAAAGCGCGUGUAGGCGGCCCUGCAAGUCGGGUGUGAAAUCCCACGGCUCAACCGUGGAAGUGCACUCGAAACUGCAGGGCUAGAGUCCUGGAGAGGAAGGUGGAAUGCUUGGUGUAGAGGUGAGAUUCGUAGAUAUCAAGCGGAACACCGGUGGCGAAGGCGGCCUUCUGGACAGUGACUGACGCUGAGACGCGAAAGCGUGGGGAGCAAACAGG
rnacentral:rRNA from 1 species